UGUAGCAUGCACAGGAUGCAGGGAGGGAGAAGCUGGCAGGUUGUGAAUUCUCCCUCAAAGACAAAACCUUUGGCCUCCUCUCUAGCAACAGCGGCAACCGUGAUCCUUACCCUGCUUUGCAAAGAUCUGAAGAAGCCCAAAAUCAUAAAGCCACAUGAAGUGAUUUGGGAGAAGCCAGCCACUUUCAGAUGUACAGCAGCAGAAAUGUGCCCAGGGACUAAGCCCCAAAUCACCUGGCCUACACAACAUAUCCAUGGAAUACUCAACAGAGCAAUUGGAGCUCGACCUAUGGAGUUGACAUCACCUUCAAGCCCAGCUUAGCUGAUGAUGGCAUAGUCCUUACCUGCAGCAUCAAAUACCAUUUCUUGAAGAAAGCAGUCCACGUAGCCACCCGCCUUUCCUUUGGCUAUAGGCCUACAGCCAGCACCAUCCUGCCUAAUGCUACAUGUGAGAAUGAGGACCGAGGCCACCGUUACACCUGUUCUUUCCACUGCUGGCCUCCACCAACACUUACGUGGGAAGUGGACGGGGUAACCGUCACUGGGAACAGAGGAACGGAAACACAAGUGACAUGGAGGUCUUACAGUGGGCUGAGGGCAAUGCGGCGAGCAGCACCCUGCUGUGGAAAGGAGCCUCCAUUGACCACCAUGACCCCUUCAUCACCUGCACGGCAACCAACCCCUUUGGGAAGCAGACAAUGGUGAUCCUACCUGGGUCCAAUGGAACAAGCAUCUCCUGCCCCAGACUUCACCUUUAAGUCCUGUGCAUGCUAACAUUUACAAAUCUCCAAGACAGGCAGACUUGGGUGGGCAGCCCUAGGCACACUUUUACUGGUAAUAGGCACCACUGAACAUAGCAGGACUUCCUUCCAAGGAAACAUGCAUCCCAUUGUGCUGUUUGGCUUCAUCCAAGGCAAGGAUGGGGUUCUUUUCUCAGCCCAGGGGCCACAUUGCCUCAAUGCA